GCAACCAUGACUUUGGUCUCCAUCUUCAUCUGGACGCUCACCCUCUGGACUCAAGGAUCCAGUGGUCAGAUAACUGUGACUCAGACUCCUGCAGUGAAAACUGUUUCUCCAGGAGACUCAGUUACCAUCAGCUGUAGAACCAGCCCUGCCGUGUAUGCUGAUGUUGCUUUAUCCUGGUAUCAGCAGAAACCUGGAGAAGCUCCUAAACUUCUGAUCUAUUCAGCAGACACACUUGAUGAUGGUGUUCCAGCUCGUUUCAGUGGCAGUGGAUCUGGAUCUGACUUCACUCUGACCAUCAGUAAUGUCCAGACUGAAGAUGCAGGAGAUUAUUACUGUCAGAGUUUACAUGAGAUCAGUGGUAGCUACGUGUUCCCACAGUGUUUAUCUGUUCAGAACUCAGCAGCUGGAGUCCUCACUCACACUAAGCACUCUGCCCUCAUCACACCUGCUCUCCAUAACCUGCACUGCUUAUCUGCCCCUUUGUGUGGUCAAUACAGGCUGCUGCUCAUGACCUUCACAGACAUACAUGGCCUUGACCUUCAUACCUUACUAACCUCCUCCAUCUCUACACGCCAGCUGGGACACUCAGGUCUUCUGGAGCUGGUCUGA